GAUGAACGCUGGCGGCGUGCCUAAUACAUGCAAGUAGAACGCUGAAGGAAGGAGCUUGCUCUUUCCGGAUGAGUUGCGAACGGGUGAGUAACGCGUAGGUAACCUGCCUGGUAGCGGGGGAUAACUAUUGGAAACGAUAGCUAAUACCGCAUAACAGUAGAUAUUGCAUGAUAUCUGCUUGAAAGGGGCAAUUGCUCCACUACCAGAUGGACCUGCGUUGUAUUAGCUAGUUGGUGAGGUAACGGCUCACCAAGGCGACGAUACAUAGCCGACCUGAGAGGGUGAUCGGCCACACUGGGACUGAGACACGGCCCAGACUCCUACGGGAGGCAGCAGUAGGGAAUCUUCGGCAAUGGACGGAAGUCUGACCGAGCAACGCCGCGUGAGUGAAGAAGGUUUUCGGAUCGUAAAGCUCUGUUGUAAGAGAAGAACGAGUGUGAGAGUGGAAAGUUCACACUGUGACGGUAUCUACCAGAAAGG
rnacentral:rRNA from 1 species